rnacentral:rRNA from 1 species
UGGGGAAUUUUGGACAAUGGGGGCAACCCUGAUCCAGCCAUGCCGCGUGCGGGAAGAAGGCCUUCGGGUUGUAAACCGCUUUUAUUCGGGAAGAAGGAGUAGGGGCUAAUACCCUCUAUGACGGACGGUACUGGAUGAAUAAGCACCGGCUAACUACGUGCCAGCAGCCGCGGUAAUACGUAGGGUGCGAGCGUUAAUCGGAAUUACUGGGCGUAAAGCGUGCGCAGGCGGUUCGAGAAGUCAGCUGUGAAAGCCCCGGGCUUAACCUGGGAAUGGCGGUUGAAACUCUCGGACUAGAAUCUGGCAGAGGGGGGUGGAAUUCCACGUGUAGCAGUGAAAUGCGUAGAGAUGUGGAGGAACACCGAUGGCGAAGGCAGCCCCCUGGGCUGAGAUUGACGCUCAGGCACGAAAGCGUGGGGAGCAAACAGG